AGCCCGUGGGCCCGUGCUUGGACCGAAGGCCAGGCACGUGGGCCGCUAAGGCACGGCACGGCAGGCACGUGGGCCAAAUCGGCAUGGCACGCUACAGCCCGUGCCUGGCCCGGUGGCCAUCUAUAGUAUCUACUACCCACCUAAAAAAAAGAAAAGAAAAAGAGAUAGCCCAUGUUCUCCCAAAGCAAAGAUCAAGAGAGGAGGAUAGAUAGCAAUAUGAGGAUCAAUGAGAAAUAAGUUUUAUCAUCACUUAUACAUUUCCACCAUCACUAUCAUUUACUCCACCACACAUGCACAUCUUGAUUUAAUUAUAUGCUAAGUUCCUUUAGAUCCAUGGCUCGAUUAGACAUCAUAUGUAUGAGCUGUUUUUCACACCUAUGAGCUCC
rnacentral:lncRNA from 1 species